CCUACGGGAGGCUGCAGUGGGGAAUUUUGCGCAAUGGGGGAAACCCUGACGCAGCAACGCCGCGUGAGUGAUGAAGGCCUUCGGGUCGUAAAGCUCUGUCAGAGGGAAAGAAGUGCAGUGGUGCUAAUACCAUCAUUGCUUGACGGUACCCUCAAAGGAAGCACCGGCUAACUCCGUGCCAGCAGCCGCGGUAAUACGGAGGGUGCGAGCGUUGUUCGGAAUUAUUGGGCGUAAAGCGCGUGUAGGCGGUUUUUUAAGUCUGAUGUGAAAGCCCCGGGCUCAACCUGGGAAGUGCAUUGGAAACUGGGAGACUUGAAUACGGGAGAGGGUAGUGGAAUUCCUAGUGUAGGAGUGAAAUCCGUAGAUAUUAGGAGGAACACCGGUGGCGAAGGCGGCUACCUGGACCGAUAUUGACGCUGAGACGCGAAAGCGUGGGGAGCAAACAGGAUUAGAUACCCGGGUAGUC
rnacentral:rRNA from 1 species